AGUGUAAACACAGGCUUCUUAUAAGAGAAAGCCAGAAUAGUUAGAGGUAAGGGUGGAGGCAAUGAGAUGAAGGAAGUGGGGACUGCAGUGACAUAGUCAUAGCUGGGGCGUGCCAGCAGUCCCUGGGAGAUGAGAACGCUCUCUGGAGCCUCUAGAAGGAGCCAGCCCUGCUGACAUGCUGAUUCUAUCUCCAUAAAACUCAUUCUGAACUUCUGACCUCCAGGACUGUAAUAAAACUGAGUUGUUUCAAGUCACGAAGCUUCUGGUAAUUUGUUACAGCAGACUUAGGAAACAAAUACUGUUCUAUACCUAACCAGGUGAGGAGUGUUUGGGCAGCUUUCUCCUCUCCUGGAUUCAGUCACAAAAGCACAAACAACUAAGAAAAAAGCAAUUGCACUGUUGCCAAUUCCCCACAUGGAUUAGUGCCUUAUGAUGAGAAAUAAACAUCUAUGGACACUUUGAUAUUACAGUGAUUUCAUGGCAAUAGAAGUGGUAGGAAUAAUAAUAGUAGAAAAGACAGGUAAAUUAGCUAGUGCAUGUAGAAGAUUUAGUACUGUUGCUGGGCUGUAGGACUGAAAAACUAGUAGCUAUUAUUAUUACCAGUAGUUGCAUUACUAGCAGUAAGAGGAUGGAUGGGUAUUGAUGUCGGUGCCAGUAAUAAAGUUAACCAUUUUUUGAGUACAUACUGUUGCUAGGUACCAUCCUAAAUAUUUUCAAUGAAUUACCUAUUUUAACCCUCAAAUGAGAUGCAGAAGUAGGUGUCUUUACUCUCAGUCUGUGAAUGACGAAAGUGAGUUGAAUGUUUGUGGGCCUCCCCACUACUGCCAAGUUCCUAUGUGGAAAUCCUGACCUCUGCUGUGGUCGUAUUAGGAGACGGUGCCUCUGGGAGGUGACUGUGUCACAAGGGUGACGCUGUCAUGAAUGGGAUUAGCACCCAUAUAAAACUGGCCCCAGAGAGUCCUGUGUCUCUCCCACCACGUGAGGACACAGCCAGAAGACAGACAGCCGUCUAUGAGUCGGGAAGUGGACCUUCACCAGACACCGAGUCUGCCAGUGCCUUGACCUUGACUUCCCAGCCUCCGGAACUGUGAAAAUACAGUUUGAUGGAGAAAACUGGACUUGACUGAUGAGAGAUGUCUAUAUGCAGAAGAAAUAUUUGGAAAUCGCCUGAGUCCAGCAAUGGCUAAUCAGGUUGGUGCAUUUGGGAACAGAUGUCCUGUGUGUACCAACAAGCCCAGUGAUCAGCAUGUCAGCUCAGAAACACCUCAUUUGAAAGAGCCAAGGAGCUUUGCCAUACGCACGGUUGCUGGAAUGAGUUCUCUUUUAUUUUGGGAGGUUACUAUGUGUAAUUCAGGAUGACUCCAUAAAAGAAUGAAGAAUGAAUGAAUACACCCAGGGAAAUACACAUUUAACUCAGCGUGGUCUCACUGGCUAGCUGCUGUGUUCUUUGGGAAUUCUGCUGAUCUGUCAAAACGCAACUCAUGUUCAGAAAGGUGAAGAGGCUAAGCCA